GAAUAUUGGACAAGGGGCGAAAGCCUGAUCCAGCCAUGCCGCGUGUGUGAAGAAGGUCUUCGGAUUGUAAAGCACUUUAAGUUGGGAGGAAGGGCAGUAAGCGAAUACCUUGAUGUUUUGACGUUACCAACAGAAUAAGCACCGGCUAACUCUGUGCCAGCGGCCGCGGGAAGACAGAGGGGGGAACAGUUAAUCGGAAUUACUGGGCGUAAAGCGCGCGUAGGUUGGUCGUUAAGUUGGAUGUGAAAUCCCCGGGCUCAACCUGGGAACUGCAUCCAAAACUGGCGAGCUAGAGUAGGGCAGAGGGUGGUGGAAUUUCCUGUGUAGCGGUGAAAUGCGUAAAUAUAGGAAGGAACACCAGUGGCGAAGGCGACCACCUGGGCUCAUACUGACACUGAGGUGCGAAAGCGUGGGGAGCAAACAG
rnacentral:rRNA from 1 species